rnacentral:rRNA from 1 species
UUAAAAUAUAAAUAAAUAUAUUAGAGUAGUAGUAGUUAUAUUCUUAAAACUUAAAAAAUUUGGCGGUAUUUUAAUCUAUUCAGAGGAACUUGUUUUAUAAUUGAUAAUCCACAUUGAAUCUUACUUAGAUUUGUAUAAUUUGUAUAUCGUUGUCAUAAGAAUAUCUUAAAAAGGAAAUAAUUUUCUAAUUUAAAAAUAAUUAUUAAUGUCAGAUCAAGGUGCAGUUUAUAUUUAAGUAAAAAUGAGUUACAAUAAAUUUAUUUAUGAUGAAUUAAAGAUUUCAAUAUUUUUAUGAAGGAGGAUUUGAUAGUAAAUUUUUAGAGAUUAUAAAAUUGAUUUUAGUUCUAAAAUAUGC